AGGUUUGGAGGCCACUCUACAGAUGAACCCUCUAUCCUGACACCUCUGGAGCAGUGCUGCAGGAUCCGUCACUCUACCCUCCUGUGUCUGUCUGCGUCUCCUCUCCCUGCCCCAGUACAGUCUGAUGUCAUGAGGGACUCUCUUUUUCAUGAUCCUCUAUUCCCGUGGCCCCUCUCCACCCUGGACCGUCGCCUAGCGACCGUGCUCAGAACCUUUGAGCCGUUGCCAAGAUCAACAGUGUAGCCUCCAUGGACGAAGCGAGGAUUAUGUCACUCAUUAUAAGACCUUGGUUACACCUGUGACACAUGCAGGGUAGUCUCUUAGAAAACAGGAUUCCAAAUGGGUUCUUCAGCUGUCCCCAUAGGAGAACUCUUUUGGGUUCCAGUUGUGUUAAGGUAGGGAUGGUAUACAGAACAUAGCCCUAUUUGGUAAAAGACCAAGUCCAUAUUAUGGCAAGAACAGCUCAAAUAAGCAAAGAGAAACGACAGUCCAUCAUUACUGACAUGAAGUUCAGUCAAUCCGGAAAAUGUCAAGAACUAUGAAAGUUUCUGCAGGUGCAGUCGCAAAAACUAUCAAGCGCUAUGAUGAAACUGGCUCACAUCAGGAUCCCCACAGGAAAGGAAGACCCAGAGUUACCUUUGCUGCAGAGGGACAAUGACCCAACACACCUCCAGGUUGUAUCAGGGAUAUUUGACCAAUAAGAAGAGUGAUGGAGUGCUGCAUCAGAUGACCGGGACUCUACAAUCACCCAACCUCAACCCAAUUGAGAUGGUUUGGGAGCUAGACCGCAGAGUGAAGGAAAAUCAGCCAACAGGUGCUCAGCAUAUAUAGGAAUCCUUCAAAACUGUUGGCAUUCUCUCAACCAGCUUCAUGAGGAAUGAAUCACUCUGUCAUUCCUCAUGAAGCUGGUUGAGAGAAUGCCAAGAGUGUGCAAAUCAGUCUUUAAGGCAAAGGGUGGCUACUUUGAAGAAUCAAAAAUAUACUUUGAUUUGUUUAACACUUUUUUGCUCACUACAUGAUUCCAUGUGUUAUUUCAUAGUUAUGUAUUCACUACUAUUCCACAAUUUAGAAAAUAGAUUUAAAAAAUAAAGAAAAAUCCUUGAA